AGCAGCUUCAUUGUCAUCCCUUGCAGUGACAGGUGUCAUAGGGCCAGCAGAUGAUGAAGCAGUGGCAGGUGUCAUAGGGCCAGCAGAUGAUGAAGCAGUGGCAGGUGUCAUAGGGCCAGCAGAUGAUGAAGCAGUGGCAGGUGUCAUAGGGCCAGCAGAUGAUGAAGCAGUGGCAGGUGUCAUAGGGCCAGCAGAUGAUGAAGCAGUGGCAGGUGUCAUAGGGCCAGCAGAUGAUGAAGCAGUGGCAGGUGUCAUAGGGCCAGCAGAUGAUGAAGCAGUGGCAGGUGUCAUAGGGCCAGCAGAGGAUGAAGCAGUGGCAGGUGUCAUAGGGCCAGCAGAUGUUGAAGCAGUGGCAGGUGUCAUAGGGCCAGCAGAUGUUGAAGCAGUGGCAGGUGUCAUAGGGCCAGCAGAUGAUGAAGCAGUGGCAGGUGUCAUAGGGCCAGCAGAUGAUGAAGCAGUGGCAGGUGUCAUAGGGCCAGCAGAUGAUGAAGCAGUGGCAGGUGUCAUAGGGCCAGCAGAUGAUGAAGCAGUGGCAGGUGUCAUAGGGCCAGCAGAUGAUGAAGCAGUGGCAGGUGUCAUAGGGCCAGCAGAUGAUGAAGCAGUGGCAGGUGUCAUAGGGCCAGCAGAGGAUGAAGCAGUGGCAGGUGUCAUAGGGCCAGCAGAG